AGGUUGAUCCAAUGCUGUAAGAAUUCUCUUGGGACUACGUCCAUGUCUUUGUGGGAACCUCAUAGUAUCAUUCCUGUUUCACUUGGAGUGUCUUGCAUAAAAAUUAAAUCCAAAUCUAAAAAAGCAGAUAAACAUCCUAAAAAUAAAAGGAAAUAAAAAUAGUGAAAUGCUACAAGAAUAGAAGUUAAGACAUGUUUUCUUCAGUGGUGAAGGAGGUUUGCGACGCAUGACCUCAGAAGCUGAUCGACUAACCGUGUAGUGGGGCUGCAAAUGUCAAGACUUUCAAGGACUCAGAACGUGAUCCUUUGUUCCCUUCAGGAUGUUUUAAUGACGACAGUGUGAUCACAGAUAUUUUUUCUUUUUCCCUCUUGAGAGAAGUGGGGGAGAUUAAAGCAAACGGACAACCAACAGGAAAUUGCCAAGUUAAAGAACCUACUCGAAGGCUGUCUUUCAGAUGUCUGAAUAAAAAGUGUUAUUUCAUUCAGUUAAACAUCUGAAUCUAGAGACUGUAAAUCAGAAUACUCAGAUGGUGGACAGCAUGAAGUCUAGGGUCAAUAAAAGGAAGAAGAGAUGUCUUUGUGCUAUUUCAGAAUCUCUUUUAUGGACCUGACUUAGUGGAGCUUUGAAAAAAGAAAAAGAAGAAGAUAGCCGGAGAGGAAGAAUGAAGGGGAGUAAGUCAGAGGGGGAGACGAACCAGGAGAGAUGAUGGACUC